GUGCAUACUGUAUUGUGUUUCAUAAAUUAAUCUUAUGUAUUUAUAACAAGAAUAUUGUCAUUUAUUUGUAGUGAUGUCUCGGAAGGAAAACCUCAUAUCUAAAUUGCAUACCAAGGAAGGGACUUGGAAGAUAGCAGUGUGAAUCAUUGAUAUGUGGCAUGUUAACAAGCACAAUGGGUGCAAAGAUUGGCGCCACUCUGACAAGAAUUGUUCCCUGAAUUUGAGCCAAAGUUGCAUUGCAAUUGUGCAUAUUUGAUUCAGAACAUCAAAGUUGUUGACAAUCAUUCUGAAUACAAAGUUGAAAAGUCACAUCCAAUCUUCAGCAAAAUUGCCCUUCUUAUUACGAAUGACAAACAUGAGGACGUAUGAGGAAACUAUAACGAUCAUAUACACAUUGGAAACAAAAGAGGAAGGAUUGAAAAGUGAAAGAAACUUACAACAUUGGAAGUUGUUGAUGACUGUGUACUCAUGGUGAUAGUGCUUGACUGGUGUUGUUGGGCAGGAUGAAUUGAUACUUGUUGAAAAUGGUUGCUUUUGGUUUCCAUAGACGGAGAGAGUAAUGGAGGUUUUCCUAAUUACUACUUCCAAUGUGUAUAAUACCAAUGUGUAUGAUUGAAUGGUUUUUACACAGUAGACAAUAUGUACAUGAUGUAACUGUCGUAGCAAUUAAUGUGU